AAGGCUGAAACUUAAAGGAAUUGACGGAAGGGCACACCAGGAGUGGAGCCUGCGGCUUAAUUUGACUCAACACGGGAAAACUUACCAAGACCGAACAUUAGAGGGAAUGACAGAUUAAGGGUUCUUUCAUGAUUUAGAGGGGAGUGGUGCAUGGCCGUUCUUAGUUCGUGGAGUAAUUCGUCAGGUUAAUUCCGGUAACGAACGAGACUGAAACCUAUUUAUUAGUAUUCUCCCUGUUAGGGAGAAUCGUAUGUGUAAGCAUACGCAAGAAACAUUGAUUUCUUAAAGGGACACGUUUUGAUAGAUUACUCUCGAGUUGGCAACCACAGAAAAUGUGGUACUGACCCAGGAGUCGUUUAAAGAAAGGGAAGCGUUCAGCAAUAACAGGU
rnacentral:rRNA from 1 species